rnacentral:hammerhead_ribozyme from 1 species
GCAUUGCUGAAGAGUCGCAACAAUAGGACGAAACGGGUGUCCAAUGC